UACGUAGGCAGCAAGCGUUUGUUCGGAAUUACUGGGCGUAAAGAGUGUGUAGGCGGUGUUCUAAGUCUGUUGUGAAAUCUCCCGGGCUUAACCGGGAGGGUGCGGCGGAAACUGGAGUGCUUGAGGGUGGGAGAGGUAAGCGGAAUUCCUGGUGUAGCGGUGAAAUGCGUAGAUAUCAGGAGGAACACCUGUGGUGUAGACAGCUUACUGGACCACUUCUGACGCUGAGACACGAAAGCGUGGGUAGCAAACAGG
rnacentral:rRNA from 1 species